GACGAACGCUGGCGGCGUGCUUAACACAUGCAAGUCGAACGGAGAGGCCUCUUUCGGGGGGUACUCGAGUGGCGAACGGGUGAGUAACACGUGAGUAACCUGCCCUUGACUUUGGGAUAACUUCAGGAAACUGGGGCUAAUACCGGAUAGGAGCUCCUGCUGCAUGGUGGGGGUUGGAAAGUUUCGGCGGUUGGGGAUGGACUCGCGGCUUAUCAGCUUGUUGGUGGGGUAGUGGCUUACCAAGGCUUUGACGGGUAGCCGGCCUGAGAGGGUGACCGGCCACAUUGGGACUGAGAUACGGCCCAGACUCCUACGGGAGGCAGCAGUGGGGAAUAUUGCACAAUGGGUGGAAGCCUGAUGCAGCAACGCCGUGUGCGGGAUGACGGCCUUCGGGUUGUAAACCGCUUUCGCUCAUGACGAAGCUUUGUGUGACGGUAGUGAGUAAAGAAGCACCGGCUAACUACGUG
rnacentral:rRNA from 1 species